rnacentral:rRNA from 1 species
AUUGAACGCUGGCGGCAUGCCUUACACAUGCAAGUCGAACGGCAGCACGGGAGCAAUCCUGGUGGCGAGUGGCGAGCGGGUGAGUAAUAUAUCGGAACGUGCCCAGUCGUGGGGGAUAACGCAGCGAAAGCUGUGCUAAUACCGCAUACGAUCUAAGGAUGAAAGCGGGGGAUCGCAAGACCUCGCGCGAUUGGAGCGGCCGAUAUCAGAUUAGCUAGUUGGUGGGGUAAAGGCCCACCAAGGCGACGAUCUGUAGCUGGUCUGAGAGGACGAACAGCCACACUGGAACUGAGACACGGUCCAGACUCCGACGGGAGGCAGCAGUGGUGAAUUUUAGACGAUGGGCGCAAGCCUGAUCUAGCAAUGUCGCGUGCAGGAUGAAGGCCUUCGGGUUGUAAACUGCUUUUGUACGGAACGAAACGGCCCUUUCUAAUACAGGGGGCUAAUGACGGUACCGUAAGAAUAAGCACCGGCUAACUACGUGCCAGCCGCCGCAGUAA